rnacentral:rRNA from 1 species
UACGUAGGGUGCGAGCGUUUGUCCGGAAUUAUUGGGCGUAAAGGGCUCGUAGGCGGUCUGUCGCGUCGGGAGUGAAAACACGGGGCUUAACCCCGUGCCUGCUUCCGAUACGGGCAGACUAGAGGUAUGCAGGGGGAGAACGGAAUUCCUGGUGUAGCGGUGAAAUGCGCAGAUAUCAGGAGGAACACCGAUGGCGAAGGCAGGUCUCUGGGCAUUAACUGACGCUGAGGAGCGAAAGCAUGGGGAGCGAACAGG